GAAUCUGUGAGGGAGGAAGGAGAGUGUCAGUAUGUGUGAGAGGCAGGAAGGCGGGUAUAAGUGAGUCUGUGAGGGAGGAAGGCGAGUGUCAGUAUGUGUGAGAGGCAGGAAGACGGGUAUAAGGGAGUCUGUGAGGGAGGAAGGCGAGUGUCAGUAUGUCUGAGAGGCAGGAAGGCUGGUAUAAGUGAGUCUCUGAGGGAGGAAGGAUAGUGUCAGUAUGUGUGAGAGGCAGGAAGGCGGGUAUAAGUGAGUCUGUGAGGGAGGAAGGCGAGUGUCAGUAUGUGUGAGAGGCAGGAAGGCGGGUAUAAGUAGUCUGUGAGGGAGGAAGGUGAGUGUCAGUAUGUGUAAGAGGCAGGAAGGCAGGUAUA